GACGAACGCUGGCGGCGUGCUUAACACAUGCAAGUCGAACGGAAAGGCCCUGCUUUUGUGGGGUGCUCGAGUGGCGAACGGGUGAGUAACACGUGAGUAACCUGCCCUUGACUUUGGGAUAACUUCAGGAAACUGGGGCUAAUACCGGAUAGGAGCUCCUGCUGCAUGGUGGGGGUUGGAAAGUUUCGGCGGUUGGGGAUGGACUCGCGGCUUAUCAGCUUGUUGGUGGGGUAGUUGCCUACCAAGGCUUUGACGGGUAGCCGGCCUGAGAGGGUGACCGGCCACAUUGGGACUGAGAUACGGCCCAGACUCCUACGGGAGGCAGCAGUGGGGAAUAUUGCACAAUGGGCGGAAGCCUGAUGCAGCAACGCCGCGUGCGGGAUGACGGCCUUCGGGUUGUAAACCGCUUUCGCCUGUGACGAAGCGUGAGUGACGGUAAUGGGUAAAGAAGCACCGGCUAACUACGUG
rnacentral:rRNA from 1 species